UACGUAGGUCCCGAGCGUUAUCCGGAUUUAUUGGGCGUAAAGCGAGCGCAGGCGGUUGGAUAAGUCUGAAGUUAAAGGCUGUGGCUUAACCAUAGUAUGCUUUGGAAACUGUUCAACUUGAGUGCAGAAGGGGAGAGUGGAAUUCCAUGUGUAGCGGUGGAAUGCGUAGAUAUAUGGAGGAACACCGGUGGCGAAAGCGGCUCUCUGGUCUGUAACUGACGCUGAGGCUCGAAAGCGUGAGUAGCGAACAGG
rnacentral:rRNA from 1 species